CAUCAGAUCACUUUGUGUUCGAAAAUAGUUCGUCACAACGGACGGUUCCACCAAAAAUCAAUUUCAUCACUUUUCUGAUGUAAGAGUUUCGCAGGGAACAGCUUCACUUUGAUUGAUUACCGGAUUUACUUCAAAAUGUUUAAUUUUUUAUCGAGGCCUUACGGAGAUCUGGAAGCAGAUUCAAAAUUCAUUCAUUCAUUUUACCAGACGCGUCUACGAGACUUGAGCAGAAUGGAGAGCAAGAGAAGAUUUAUAAAUUCCUCUUCAUCAUCAUUUUUGUUUCAUAAAAGAAUAAAUUUGUUAACAAUCUAACGUAAGGACAAAGACAUUUUAGUUCCAAUUUUAACUGCACUAAUUUCUUGAUUCUAAUUUUUGUUCCAAAAUAUUUAAUUUGGUCAGAAGAUAUGUACAAGGCUUUGUGUUUAACGUAUAAUAGUGCCAAGUACUAAAAAAGUAGCUUUAUAUUUAAUAUUCGGGGUAAAUUGCUUGCUAAAAUGUUUGUUCUAAAUCUAAAUGAGUUAAAGAACAGCGCAUGACUUUUAUUGGGAAGAAAAUUAAUUGAUAUAAGAUUUCUAUCGCCCCAUUUGUAAUGUAAGAAUCAUGAUCUUAGUUUGCAUUUUUAAUGUGUAAUUCUGUCUUACUCUGAAGAUAAGUUCGUUUGUUUUAAAUUCAGGUUUAUGAUAUUUUAAAGCUUAAUUCGGGCAUUCACACAGAGAAAUUAAAUGAUAAUUGAUGUCAAUGCUAAUGGAGAUAAAAAGUGUAAUGAAAAAUGAACAAGUAUUUAUAAUCGAUGUACUAAGUGUUAAUAUUUGUAUUAAAUAUGUGUGUUCUUUGUGGGAUUUGUGUGUUCAGUCCUAGAGAAUAGUUACAUAUAGUAUUAAUGUUGUUCUUUGUUACUUCUAUGUAUUUAGUUCCAUUCAGUUUUACUUUUGUCCAGAUUAUUCUUCUUGCACUUUAGUUGUGUUGUUUUAUUCUGUGCUCCACACUAACUUAAUGCCUAGUAAGAUAGACAUCGUUUUUCUAGUGUUGUGUUUAGAAGCAUGUUGGAAAUGUAUGUUUUCGAAAAGUAGUAUUACAUUUGUAUUUAAUACAACGUUAUACCUGGGUAUUUGUUUAAAUAUGUAGAUGUUUAUUGUUGUUUCUCUUGUGUGCAAAUCUUUCUGCGUUUAUGUUUUAGUAUUAGUGUGCACGUUUCUACUGUAACCUGUUAGAAACAUGUUUUAAUCUGUAGAUAUAUUGUAUUGACAUCGUCAUUGGCACUUGUGUUGUGUUUAUAAAUGUAACUCAUGUUAUAUGUAAAUAUAGAAUCGAUGUAAAUCUACCUAUAAA